rnacentral:rRNA from 1 species
AUAUUGGACAAUGGGGGAAACCCUGAUGCAGCGACGCCGCGUGAGCGAUGAAGUANUUNNGUAUGNANAGCUCUAUCAGCAGGNNNNNAAAUGACGGUACCUGACUAAGAAGCUCCGGCUAAAUACGUGCCAGCAGCAGCGGUAAUACGUAUGGAGCAAGCGUUAUCCGGAUUUACUGGGUGUAAAGGGAGCGUAGACGGUUUGCCAAGUCUGAUGUGAAAGGUGUGGGCUCAACCCGCAAACUGCAUUGGAAACUGGUGUACUUGAGUGACGGAGAGGUAAGUGGAAUUCCUAGUGUAGCGGUGAAAUGCGUAGAUAUUAGGAGGAACACCAGCGGCGAAGGCGGCUUACUGGACGAUAACUGACGUUGAGGCUCGAAAGCGUGGGGAGCAAACA